rnacentral:lncRNA from 1 species
CGCCCAAGGCUAAACAACAGGAUCAUGUACAACAAGUUCCCAGGAAAUCAACUUGAAUACAUACAUGACCAAAACAAUAGCGAGGGCACAACCAGUGCCGAACACUACAAGAGCAAGCAUCACAAGUGUAAACAAGUGAAUAAAAGAGAGAUAUAGCUAUCUAUUACCUCACAUUUGACAUUCAACAUUUACCUCCAUUCAACUUUUAAUACAACUUGAUUACAUUUAAGCUUCCAAAAUGAAUACAUAAUCAUAUCACAUAUAUAUAAUGCUAGCUAUCCAAAAUACAUCAUGUCAUCUAUAACCAUGCACACGAGGGUGCUCUAGUACAAUAGGAAAGCUCUACUAGCUAGCUAGGGCGCUACGCCCUUACCGCGAUCACCUGUCGGCCCGCUCACGUGUGUACCUGUACCCCAAAAUCACACGGGGUGAGAACUAUAUAAAUAUAGUUCCCAGUGGGUUCGGCCGCCGACUCCGCCGAUCUUCCCACUAGGUCUAAGCUGGCACAAAUAGAUAGAUAGAGAGAUAGAUAGAUAUUGAACUGCAACUAUGAUCUAUUGUGCCAUCAAAUGCAAAGAAUGCAUGCAACAUCAUUUAUCCUGCUAGUAUGCUUUAACAAUGAAAUAUACACAACUACAACAUAGUUAUGCAGUGUACUAUGUCUAAUCAUGGUAUGAAUGCGGAUCCACUUAUGCAAUUCAUGUCUUUAUCCAAUCCACUAGGCUACCCCGCCCUUGUCUCAAAUCACAUAGGUGAAGGACUACCCCGCCCUUGUUUCACCCGUCCCACAACUCUAACACUAUAGGUAAGGAGCUACCCCGCUCUUACCCGACUCAGAUCUCAAGUCCUAUAGGUGAAGAGCUACCCCGCUCCUCGCCUAACUCAUGACUCAAAUGCCUAAGGGCAAGAGCUACCCCGCUCUUCGCCCCGACUCUAACUCAAACUCAUAGGUCAAGAGCUACCCCGCUCGUAGGUAAAGAGCUACCCCGCUCAUAGGUAAAGAGCUACCCCGCUCAUAGGUAAAGAGCUACCCCGCUCAUAGGUAAGGAGCUACCCCGCUCAAAUCUCACAGGUGAAGGGCUGCCCCGCCCUCCGCCCGACUCACUUCCCAGUCCAAUGGGUGGGGAGCUACCCCGCUCGUAUUCCACCCGAUGAGCUACCCCGCUCGUGAGCUACCCCGCUCGUGUGACAACUGAGGAUACCCUGUCAACUAGGUUAACCAUCACUUGAUAAUCCACCUAUCCCUAGGUCCAUGUCAAGUGUUUCAACCAUAUCAAAUCUCAAUGGCACUCACCUAGGUCUAAGCAACUCUAGGUUCCACAACACUAGGUUUAAUGUCAACCUAUGUUUAACAACAUUAUAUUAAUGCCACUCGAUCUAUCCUAGGUUCACGACACUAGGUUUAGAUGCCACAUAAUCUCCAUAAUUAACAAUAGGUUAACAUUCAUUUCAUCUAGCAUAUAUGUUCUAUAAGGCCAACAUGUAUCAUAAUGCUAAUAUGCCAUUAUCAACUAGCAUGCAAUCCAUUCAUAAUGCUACAUGCAUACAAUCUCCAUCACACUAGUUCACAUGUCACUAGUUUCAUUAUCAAGUCCAAGUUCUUUAUUCUCUUAUCAUCAUAGGAUCUCAUGUCUCAACCUUAAUCAUCAUGCAUUCUAGAUUUAGGUGUCAAGUCUAUAAUACUACACAACUAGACAUGCAUUCGAGGAAAGUAGAAAUGUAACUAUACAUAUAUCCUAUAAUGCAUAAGAACCAUAUAUAUGAAAUAUGAUCAACUAUUUUACUCGGACAUAGAAGGAAGCCCGAUUGCUUCGGAUAGACACCCCCCACCUUUUAUAGCGUUCCGAUUGCUCGUCGUCACUUGCAAUCGGCCUCCCGCGGCACACGCCGCUCGGCUUGACCCAAUCCGCGCGCGACCACCAAACGACCUCCGAUCCGCGAUCCGAAAAUUAAAGGUCUUCGGUUUAUUGUCACGAUGCUUCAAAUCCGUUUCUACGAUGUUACGACGUCGCCUCGGCCCUCCAGGCGGAAACGAAGCCUAAACGUCCGUUUCUUUAAUAACUUCGCACUGGCUCGACGAAUCGCCGAACCGUCGCUUCCAACGCGUUCAGUGACCUAUCAAUUAGGUUUCCAGAGGGUCAAAUUAGAUCAAACCCUCAUAUUUUCAAAAAUUGCAUUUCGAGCCCUAGGUUUAUAACUAGGCAAGAAUUAACUAAAUUGAUCCUAGAUUCUAGCAAUAAUCAUCUAUUUAGCAUGCUAGAAUUCCAUUAAAACCAUUUUUAGAGCAUAAGGAUCAAUCCUUAGAGUUCUACCAUUAAAGGGUUUUGAAGCUUACCUCUCAAGCAAGCUCCAAUGGAGAGGAAGAAGAUGAAGUUGAUGAAGAUCAACUUCCAAGCUUGCUUCUCCACCAAAUCCAUCUAUUUUUGGGAGAGAUCUAGAGAGAGAAAGGGAAGUGUUCUCUCUCCCUUUCCAUGUAUGCGUGUGUGUUGUGUGUGUGCGGGUUGUGUACGCACGGUUGAGGGAGAAGAAGAAGGGAUUAAGUCCCUUUUACACUUUAGUCCCUCAACAAUUACACUAUUCACUCUAGGCAGCUCGAAAUCUGAUAUCUUUCGCCGGAGCUCCCUGAAUGUCCGUUUGAGCUCAAAUUUGACAGUCAUGUUCGGUUUAACGUACUGAACAAGAAUAUAUCUUAAGUUUUCAGUUUCGACCCCGUUUGGUCACCGAAAACUGUGCCGAACUGCAAUCUUUAUCAGAUGGCUUUCGGAUUUUAUUUCUCACUCUACGUGUGUCAGAAAAAUAUGAAACCUUAAAUCUAGCCUCAUAAAAAUAUUUCUGACUUGUCCUCCAAUUUUCAUAAUUUUCUGAGACUGUACAUUUUCUGCUAAUUUAUCUGCCCCGUUUCCCACAGAAAAUUCUAAAUCUUCUGUUUUCGCUCCGAUUUCAGCACAGGUCAUUCCCAACCUAUAUUUCACUUCUCUAAAUCCAAUAAAAAUAGUAUCUCAUACUAUUUUUUAUUUAUUUCUAUUUUUUUAUAUUUAAAUCCGAUAUAUUACAUUACACCGCAACCUUACCGGAACCAUUCAAAUGGCUCUCCAACCAAAUGGACACCGUAACCUCAUGAUUUUAGAAGUCCGGUACCUUACAUUCUCCCCUCCUUAAAAGGAGUUUCGUCCUCGAAACUAACUCACUUCAAACCCAAUUCACACCUCAACUCGACGUAUCGAGCGACAUAGGGUUCCAAUGCACUUUUAUACUCCGGGGUGGCCUUUCACUCAUUGGAAUCAUCCAAAGGCCCACCACAGAGGAUGUGAGACUAGAUUCACUCACUUUUGCUAAGCGUAGCUCCGAAAGUGCAUUACGAGUUUCCGUCAUUCUUGGUGGUAGCGCAAGUCGAAGCUCAACAACUCUACGCGCUCCAACACCAUUCACCAUUUGGCAUGCAAGAACUCUUCUUUGCAUUCACUUUCCCCCUCGGGGCAUUCCGAUUCGAUCACCAACAUUGCUCAAAAGCAAUAUCAUGGGUGCUUCAUCCAAUCGCGGGUGAUCUAACCACAUUCGGACCUUGCUCUACUGCGAGAUGGCCUACCCCGGCAUAUCUCGACUUCCAAUCCAUAAAAGAGCGUUAUCUUCAAGUUCUCCAACAUAACCCAGCCUGCCUGGGCAAGUUUCACACUCAGGGACCGGUCUCUCUUGCCAGGGGACCGGUUGCCCCGGGCUGCGCAACCCUCAGCCUCGGGGCAACCGGUCCCUCCUUCCUGGGACCGGUCCCCGAGAGCAAGCUUGCGCAGACAACGUUCGGGAACCGGUCCCUCCCUCCUGGGACCGGUCCCCGAGAGCAAAUCUGCCAAGUGCAGAUUCAUGCACCAUUUGCUCUCGCGGACUCCAUUCCAAAGCACUUUUGGUGCAUUUGACUUCUUCGGCUUUUCCGAAGCACUCCCACUCGACAAUUUGUCGACUUUGAGCGAAAUCCAACUCUCGUAUUUCGAGAAUUCACUUCCUUACUCCAACUCAUCAUUGGGCGAAAUUCUCAUUGGAGAAUUCGCACACACUCCAACCAGGAGUAACCACGACCCAAACCACUUCAAAUCCUGAGGUUGGGCUACAACUGCACUCUCAGUGUAUCCUCGAUCCCAUGAUCUAUCACGUGGAAGUCCACGUUCUCGGGUCUAAGCUCUGACUACCGUCCUGACCAUAACUCUGCCCUACCCCGGGGUCGCUGUCACCCACAGCUGACUGCGCCUGUCCAUAAGGUCCAGGCUCCACAGUCCACGAGUGGUCCAGGCACGGAUCGUCCUCAAGCAAUACCCGCAACCGUCGUCUCACACGACACGCUCACCCGAGCAACACACGUCACUAUAGCGUCACACACUACGCCCAGCAAUAGGCAACACUGCCUAUACACACCGGUCAACCACCGAUCUACUUUGGUAGGCGACACAUCAUCUCAACUCAUGCAUGCAUAGGUAAUUAUACCGACUCAUAUCCUGGUCCCUACUAUACUUGUGCAUUAGUAGUAAAUGAGUAUAAGCUAAAUGCAUGCAACGCCUAACUCAAUGUCAUGCAGGAGUAUAUGUAUAUGCCUCAAACAAAUCAUACCUGCCAUGACGUCGCGUGCCUCAAACUCGGCAGGUUCCUCGACUUAAGCGGCGAACACCCGGCCACUCGGAGCCGACCGGGUCGCCUCGAGCUGACGCGGCGCCCUCGCAGGUCCCGCGGAUACGGUAGUAGGCGUAACCCCGCAAAACUGCCUCGGAGUCACUGGGGCGGAUGCAAUAGACGGGACAGGCGGCGAUCCCUCUGGACACUGACGGCUCAUAUGCCCCGCCUGACCACACCUGAAACAUCGCCCCGCCCGAUGCUCACAAUUUCCUGCGCGAUGCUCCCCACCAUAGAUCACACAUCGCACAGCUCCCUGGCUCUCGAACUGUCUCCUCGGAUGCUUCGGGGGCUUCUUGGAACUAGACUGUCCCCCCGAGCUACCGCCAGGUCGUUUCUUCCCCUUGUCUUUCUCGAACACCUCGCGCUCCUCUCGCACGUGGGCAUCACCAUGCUCCGCCCACAAUGCUCGAUCAAAAACCUCGGCAAAAGUCGUGAGCUUAAACAGCUGCACCGCUUUAUAUAUCCACGGCCGAAGUCCCCGCAAAAACCACUCGGCUCGAUCUGCGUCAUCCUUAACAACAUCUGGGACGCAGUCUAUGAUAUGGGAGAACUCCUGCUCGUAGUCCGCCACGGAACGAUCCCCCUGUCUCAGUUUGCGGAACUUCUCCUUUAACUUCCGCUUCUCGGUGUCGGGGAAGUAAUUUCCAAACAUCUCCCUCUUGAACUCCUCCCAGAGCAUGGGUUGAAGGUCAGAGGGUCGAUCCCGCUUCAACCGCUUCCACCACACCUUCGCCGCUUUUCCAAGGCAAUGGGUGGCGAGAUACACCUUGUCUUUCUCGGAGGUAUAGAGAUCCUCAAAAAGUGUCUCCAUUGAGUCAAUCCAUGACUCCACCAUCAACGGCUCCACUUUCUCCCCUUCAAAGAUUGGUGGGUUGAACUUCUUGAGUCUGAUAAGAGCCGUCAACGAGCGCUCUCGCUCCAUCUCCUCGGCCGCCACAUCGGGUAUCGCCGAACCCGAAGCUGCCGGAGGAGCACUUGCUGGCGGGGGGGAAUGCCGCCAUCGGAACCGCCGCUAUACCCUCACCCUCAGCCACAUCAGGCGCGUGCAUCGGGGGUGCGGGCGGGUAACGACCUCCAGUCGCCAUCGCAGCCACCGCUGCCAUUUGCCGCUCCAAGAGCUCCUGGAGCCGCUCAAAUCGGGUCUCCUGGCACUGCACCACAUUGGUCAAUGCGGUCACUUGCGCCCGUAACUCCUGCACCUCGCUAGGCCCAGCUGACCCUGGCGCCUGGGGAGGUCCAGCCUGCUCUGACACCUCCGAAGACGGUGCCGGAACAGAUCUGCGCGUGUAGCGUCUUGGGGACACUAGUUCCUGCAACGCAAUAACCGGGUUAAUUAACUUAACCCACCAACUCGCUCGCGAUCACAACUACGCGACUCAACGUCGCAAACUAGGCGGAAGCACGUAAGUGUACUCAUUCUAGACUCUCGGCGUCAUGUUGUCGGCCGCCCAACACUACCACUUCGAGCCAAGAACUCAUACCACUUGAAUCCAUCUCUAGCCACGACUAGAGACAUACAAUCACUUCGACCCAAUCGAUCAACUCCCGCCACCGUAUAGGUCCACGUUCCACUCACGCACCUAUAACCUUACGGUUUCCCAACCUAAGGGUCCUCUAGGUCAAUCCUAGACUCUCUCUCUUUACUUGCUCUUAACUUGCUCUGAUACCACUUUUAUCUGUCACGCCCCGAAACCGAUACCAAUUUGGUCCAGUUCCGGGCGCGUCGAACAGACGCCGGAACGGACAGCACCUCCCCUGUCCGCCCAAGGCUAAACAACGAGAUUGUGUACAACAAGUCCCCAGAAAAAUCAACUUGAAUACAUACACAAUCGAUAACUAACAAUAGCGAGAGGCACAAUCCAGUGCCGAACACUUACAAGAGCAAGCAUCACAAGUGUAAACAAGUGAAUAAAAGAGAGAUAUAGCUAUCUAUUACCUCACAUUUGACAUUCAACAUUUACCUCCAUUCAACUUUUAAUACAACUUGAUUACAUUUAAGCUUCCAAAAUGAAUACAUAAUCAUAUCACAUAUAUAUAUAAUGCUAGCUAUCCAAAAUACAUCAUGUCAUCUAUAACCAUGCACACGAGGGUGCUCUAGUACAAUAGGAAAGCUCUACUAGCUAGCUAGGGCGCUACGCCCUUACCGCGAUCACCUGCCGGCCCGCUCACGUGUGUACCUGUACCCCAAAACCACACGGGGUGAGAACUAUAUAAAUAUAGUUCCCAGUGGGUUCGGCCGCCGACUCCGCCGAUCUUCCCACUAGGUCUAAGCUGGCACAGAUAGAUAGAUAGAGAGAUAGAUAUAUGAAAAUAAACUGCUACUAUAUCUAUUGUGCCACCAAAUGCAAGGAAUGCAUGAAAUAUCAACAUCAUAAGCCUUAUCAUGCUAGUAUGCUUCAACGAUGUAAUGAAUACAAAUACGACAUAGUUAUGCAAUCCACUAACAUAUACUAUGUCUAAUCAGGGUAUGAAUGCAAAUCCACUUAUGCUAUUCAUGUCAUUACCCAAUCCACUAGGCUACCCCGCCCUUGUCUCAAAUCACGUAGGUGAAGGACUACCCCGCCCUUGUUUCACCCGUCCCACAACUCUAACACUAUAGGUAAAGAGCUACCCCGCUCCACGCCCAACUCAUGACUCAAAUGCCUAAGGGCAUGAGCUACCCCGCUCUUCGCUCCGACUCUAACUCAAACUCAUAGGUCAAGAGCUACCCCGCUCAUAGGUCAAGAGCUACCCCGCUCAUAGGUAAAGAGCUACCCCGCUCAAAGGUCAAGAGCUACCCCGCUCGUAGGUAAAGAGCUACCCCGCUCAAAGGUCAAGAGCUACCCCGCUCGUAGGUAAAGAGCUACCCCGCUCAUAGGUAAAGAGCUACCCCGCUCGUAGGUAAAGAGCUACCCUGCUCAUAGGUAAAGAGCUACCCCGCUCAAAUCUCACAGGAGAAGAGCUACCCCGCCCUUCGCCCGACUCACUUCCCAAUCCAAUGGGUGGGGAGCUACCCCGCUCGUAUCCCACCCAAUGAGCUACCCCGCUCGUGUGACAACUGAGGAUACCCUGUCAACUAGGUUAACCAUCACUUGAUAUUCCACCUAUCCCUAGGUCCAUGUCAAGUGUUUCAACCAUAUCAAAUCUCAAUGCCACUCACCUAGGUCUAAGCAACUCUAGGUUCCACAACACUAGGUUUAGAUGCCACAUAAUCUCCAUAAUUAACAAUAGGUUAACCUUCAUUUCAUCUAGCAUAUAUGUUCUAUAAGGCCAACAUGCAUCAUAAUGCUAAUAUGCCAUAAUCAACUAGCAUGCAAUCCAUUCAUAAUGCUACGUGCAUACAAUCUCCAUUACACUAGUUCACAUGUCACUAGUUUCAUUGUCAAGUCCAAGUUCUUUAUUCUCUUAUCAUCAUAGGAUCUCAUGUCUCAACCUUAAUCAUCAUGCAUUCUAGAUUUAAGUGUCAAGUCUAUAAUACUACACAACUAGACAUGCAUUCAAGGAAAGUAGAAAUGUAACUAUACAUAUAUCCUAUAAUGCAUAAGAACCAUAUAUAUGAAAUAUGAUCAACUAUUUUACUCGGACAUAGAAGGAAGCCCGAUUGCUUCGGAUAGACACCCCCCACCUUUUAUCGCGUACCGAUUGCUCGUCGUCACUCGCAAUCGGCCUCCCGCGGCACACGCCGCUCGGCUUGACCCAAUCCGCGCGCGACCGCCAAACGACCUCCGAUCCGCGAUCCGAAAAUUAAAGGUCUUCGGUUUUCUAUUACGAUGCUUCAAAUCCGUUUCCAGGACUUUACGACGUCGCCUCGGCCCUCUAGGCGGAAACGAAGCCUAAACGCCCGUUUCUUUAAUAACUUUGUACCGGCUCAACGAAUCGCCGAACUGUCGCUUCCAACGCGUUCAGUGACCUAGCAAUUAGGUUUACGGAGGGUCAAAUUAGAUCAUACCCUCAUAUUUUCAAAAUUAGCAUUUUUGAGCCCUAACAUGCAAUUACCCCCAAAUAAUCCAAAUUAAAUGGAGCAAUAUGCUAAUAAUGAUCAUUAGAGGCUACUAGAACCCUUAAAGCUAAGGAUUAAGCCAAAUCCCAAAAGCUUACCCCAAUAUGAACGCCGCAACGAAAACACGUCGCUCCAAC